GUUACAUCAUCAACAUGACGCUGCGUCUACUUCUCCACUCGGGAAGUUCCGUUCUUCACAAGUUGUGAUAACAACAUUGAUAGCAACACUUCUCGGACAUGUUUUCAGCGUGUUGACAAUUGUGUGUUCUGGACUAGCGGACGUGUGUACAUGUUGCACGGAGUAACAGGAAAAAGAAGGGAGUUAUUCCCUUUCAUAAAAUAGGCUGACCAUAUUCUGAAAUCCCAAAUAGAGGACACGUGCCAAGGCGGGCAGCACACCAAGGCCGGCACUAGGACUUCGCAUGGCUGCAGUUGUGUGACCUCAAGUAUGCAAGAAUCCAGGAGAGCAGAAAGCAGGU